rnacentral:rRNA from 1 species
AUUGAACGCUGGCGGCAUGCCUUACACAUGCAAGUCGAACGGCAGCACGGGUGCUUGCACCUGGUGGCGAGUGGCGGACGGGUGAGUAAUAUAUCGGAACGUACCUUAUUGUGGGGGAUAACGCAGCGAAAGCUGUGCUAAUGCCGCAUAAUCCCUAAGGGGGAAAGCGGGGAACCGUAAGGCCUCGCGCAAUUAGAGCGGCCGAUACCUGAUUAGCUAGUUGGUGAGGUAAAGGCUCACCAAGGCAACGAUCAGUAGCUGGUCUGAGAGGACGAUCAGCCACACUGGGACUGAGACACGGCCCAGACUCCUACGGGAGGCAGCAGUGGGGAAUUUUGGACAAUGGGGGCAACCCUGAUCCAGCAAUGCCGCGUGAGUGAAGAAGGCCUUCGGGUUGUAAAGCUCUUUUGUCAGGGAAGAAACAGCAGCUCUAACACAGUUUGCGAAUGACGGUACCUGAAGAAUAAGCACCGGCUAACUACGUGCCAGCAGCCGCCGUAA